GGGGAUUUAGCUCAGUGGUAGAGUGCUUGCCUAGCAAGCACAAGGCCCUGGGUUCGGUGCCCAGCUCCG
rnacentral:tRNA from 1 species